ACUUUGAGGCUGUAACUUCCUUUUGAAGUGGACGAGAAAAAGUUCUUCAACAUGAAAUGAAAAUGCUUCAACAUGAAACGGAAACCAGACAGGAUCUCAACAGCUACAAGUAAAUCUACUGGGACUGGAGGUCAAGCUUACUGAAGACUGAGAGACAACUUUUAUCAAGAGACAAGUAGUUGCUCUGAAAUAUCCUCCAAAGAAUAAGAUAAAACAAGAUACUUCAUGAAUUUUACAAGAGCAUGUUGACAAGUGAAUAACCCCAUGGCAUUCUUGCAAGCUUCUCUCUUGGUCACUGGACUUAUCUCUUUCUAACUUCCCUUGUGUUUGGUGGCCAUAUGAAGUCUCAAAGCUUUCAGCCCUGAAUUGCUGAGCUGUGCCGCCUGUCCUGUGAAACCUCAUGCUGUCCUGUGCACAUUCAUGGAGGGAGAAUUCCAGAUGUUACUCCCUUUCCUUCAGCAAUUCUAACAAAUUGCAAAGGGACAAGCAGCAGUAUUCUGCACAGCUGAAUGAGGAGAACACUGCUAAUGACCUGCAGGAGCCAGAAGCUUCUUGCACAGCUCCCCUGCAAGGCUUGCUGCUUAAAUAAGGGAUCUGAGGAAAGAAGACUGCUCUGAUUUCAGGGCCUGCUCAGAGGCCUGGACAGUGCUGGAUGCAGAGCUCAAGAGAUGAUCUGGAAGACAGAUAUGUGACUGUGGCUUAGUGGGAUAAGCUUAUGCCAAGUAUAACUGUGAUUACAUCAAAAAUUAUAUUUACUGAAUUGUGUUAUUCCAAAAGCACCUGUUCCCUCAGUCCUAAACACAUUUUAUAUGCCUGUCUUCAUGAAUAACUUUGCUGGUACAAUAAGGAGGAAGGUCUGUUUUCAGGAUGCCUUUUAUUGUUGCUUUAUUGAUCCUUUUUCCCUGCUGUACUGUAGCUCUGCCUUCUGGAUUGCACUCAAAUAAAGGAA